GAUGAACGCUAGCUACAGGCUUAACACAUGCAAGUCGAGGGACCGGCGCACGGGUGAGUAACCCGUAACCAACCUGCCCUUUACUCGGGGAUAGCCUUUCGAAAGAAAGAUUACUCCCCGAUCUAAAGGAUGGGGAUGCGUUUCAUUAGGUUGUUGGUGAGGUAACGGCCCACCAAGCCUUCGAUGGAUAGGGGUUCGGAGAGGAAGGUCCCCCACAUUGGAACGAAGGCACAGACCAAACGGCGACGGGAGGAAGCAGAGAGGAAUAUAGGGGAAUGGGCGUUAGCCUGAACCAGCCGAGUAGCUUGAAGGAGGAAGGCGUAUGGGUCGAAAACUUCUGUUAUAGAAGAAUAGGUAUUAGAUGAAUAAGGAUCGGCUAACUCCGUGCCAGCAGCCGCGGUAAUAC
rnacentral:rRNA from 1 species